CGAACGAAGGCUUCGGCCUUAGUGGCGGACGGGUGAGUAACGCGUGGGAACCUGCCCUGGAGUGGGGAACAACCUUUGGAAACGAAGGCUAAUACCGCAUACGCUCUACGGAGGAAAGGCUUCGGCCGCUCUUGGAUGGUCCCGCGUCUGAUUAGCUUGUUGGUGGGGUAACGGCCUACCAAGGCGACGAUCAGUAGCUGGUCUGAGAGGAUGAUCAGCCACACUGGGACUGAGACACGGCCCAGACUCCUACGGGAGGCAGCAGUGGGGAAUAUUGGACAAUGGGGGAAACCCUGAUCCAGCAAUGCCGCGUGAGUGAAGAAGGCCUUAGGGUUGUAAAACUCUUUCACUGAUGAAGAUGAUGACGGUAAUCAGAGAAGAAGCCCCGGCUAACUCCGUGCCAGCAGCCGCGGUAAUACGGAGGGGGCUAGCGUUGUUCGGAUUUACUGGGCGUAAAGCGCACGUAGGCGGCAUAUCAAGUCAGAGGUGAAAGGCCCGGGCUCAACCUGGGAACUGCCUUUGAUACUGGUAUGCUUGAGUUCGGAAGAGGGUAGUGGAAUUCCAAGUGUAGAGGUGAAAUUCGUAGAUAUUUGGAAGAACACCGGU
rnacentral:rRNA from 1 species